rnacentral:lncRNA from 1 species
AUCAGACCAUGCUUGAAGUUGUUCAAGUCGCCGACUCUACACCAGAGCAAAAGAAUAGGGAUGGCGACGAGCCUUGAUCGAUGUAUUUUGCUUUCUCUUUUUGUAAUCAAAUAUUUGUAAUCGGACUUUGGUCCAAUCUUGUAAUCUCUUUUUGAGAAUAAACAAAAAGAAUUUUUCUUCUAAGUCCAAACUUUUUUGUUUUGCUCGUUUGUAAUGUUAAGUCUGCAAUGUCUGCAAUGUAAAUCAGCCACCGAACAUUAAUCGGUGAUCCAAACA